UACUCUUAAUGCUCAAUAUUUGGUUAUAGGAACUAAAUUAAUAUCGGUUUCUGUCUGUUAUAUAGUUCAUAGCCAACAUUGUUAUCUACUUACUUGGCCUCUUUAUUCUUAUAUUGUUUGCGUUAUCAAUUCUGGGAUCAACAAAUAUUGAAAAACUAAUUUUAUUUUUUUUUUAUUUGCAGAUUUAUAAGAGGUGGUGACAAGAAAUAUUUUGGCAGGUCAUUAGCGAUGUAUUGAAUCAAGUUUAAGAAUUUAGAAAUAUUUUGAAAACUUUACAUUUGAUAGCAUGUGGAAAUGACAAAAACACUAUUAUUGUGUUUUGUUUUUUGGUUGUGUUAGGUGAUUGUAUUACUUAUAUAUGAUGAUUCAGUCUUACUUAUAUAUGUUGUCCCAAACUUGUGAGAGACAAUUCGAUGCAAAAUGUAGGAUUUCUACUUCUUGAUCUGUGGUUUGUUUGGAAAGCUUUCUGUCAUAUUUAUGAGAAUUGGCUCUCUUUGUCCCAAAUUUUAUUUGGUUUUGAGACGAUUAGAUUGAAAUUAAAGGUUAAAAUUUAAAAAUAUAAAAUUUUAUAACUAUAGGUUAUUUUUUAGCAAUUUAUACUAAAUCAAUAAUAUUUUUUACUACCAAUUAUUUUUUUUAAAAAAAAAUUAAUUUUAUAUCAGAAAAAAUGAUGGUGACAAUAGUCGCCACCAUAAAACUAGUGAUAAAAUAGGCUGUAAAGUUUUCACGGCCG
rnacentral:lncRNA from 1 species